rnacentral:rRNA from 1 species
UACGUAGGGUCCGAGCGUUGUCCGGAAUUAUUGGGCGUAAAGAGCUCGUAGGCGGUUUGUCGCGUCUGCUGUGAAAUCCCGAGGCUCAACCUCGGGUCUGCAGUGGGUACGGGCAGACUGGAGUGCGGUAGGGGAGAAUGGAAUUCCUGGUGUAGCGGUGGAAUGCGCAGAUAUCAGGAGGAACACCGAUGGCGAAGGCAGUUCUCUGGGCCGAUACUGACGCUGAGGAGCGAAAGCGUGGGGAGCGAACAGG